CGGCCUCUGGAAGGCUGGGCUUCAGGUAGUGAAGGCGGUGUGUCACUGCGGUGGUAUCUGGGGAGGCGUGCCGAGCCUCUCCGUGUGCGCGUCCCCUCCAGAAAUCUCCACAUCCCCCUGCUUCUCUCUCCACCAGAGCCGCCUCUCCCUCUGCCGACUGCCUGCCUGCCUGCCUGCCUGCCUGCCUGCCUGCCUGUGCCAAGAAGCCUACCCGAAUCGAGGGAAGAGAGAACGAUGCCCGGGAGCGCCUUAACUUCACGCCGGGCGCAAGGGCGGAAGGGGCCGAUUGGUUGACAGCCGGCUGCCUUGCCUUAAGAAGCAGGGCGUCUGAUGUCAGUGAGUGGGGCGGUUUCGUUGGGGGCGAGAGGCCUGGCCGACCUUGCGAGGGUCUUCCCCACGCCCCUGGUGCAUUUCAACGUGCGGCGAGGGUGAGGGGUGUGGAGAUCACGCUGGCGAGUGCCCCAGGCCCCUGCAGACCAGGCCGCUUUCUCCCCCUGGGGGUGCCAGAGAAGGGCAGAGCGUUGCUGUUACGGCAGGUGUCCGCCAGACGGCGCCAAAGCGCCGGCAGAGCUGCUCUGGCUCUGCCUGGCUGCAACUCCAGGCUCAGAAUGGGCCUGGAGCAGGAUGGAAGGAAACGCAAGGAGGGCCCAGACAGAGCCUUGUGUUGGUGUACCGGGUACCUGUGACGCUGUGGCCGUUUUGUGUCAACAUGCAGUCUGUGCCCCAGCAACUGGAGCGCUGGACGGGCCGUCGAGGGCCUGCGUGCCCUUUGCUCCUUGGGGGGCACGGCGCUGGGACCCAGGAGGACCCGGCUUGAGUCCUGGACAUGCGGAUUUCUAGAGUCAGGCAGGGGAGGCAUCCGGCCUCUGGAAGGCUGGGCUUCAGGUAGUGAAGGCGGUGUGUCACUGCGGUGGUAUCUGGGGAGGCGUGCCGAGCCUCUCCGUGUGCGCGUCCCCUCCAGAAAUCUCCACAUCCCCCUGCUUCUCUCUCCACCAGAGCCGCCUCUCCCUCUGCCGACUGCCUGCCUGCCUGCCUGCCUGCCUGCCUGCCUGCCUGUGCCAAGAAGCCUACCCGAAUCGAGGGAAGAGAGAACGAUGCCCGGGAGCGCCUUAACUUCACGCCGGGCGCAAGGGCGGAAGGGGGCCGAUUGGUUGACAGCCGGCUGCCUUGCCUUAAGGAGCAGGGCGUCUGAUGUCAAGCCGCCUCUCCCUCUGCCGACUGCCUGCCUGCCUGCCUGCCUGCCUGCCUGCCUGCCUGCCUGUGCCAAGAAGCCUACCCGAAUCGAGGGAAGAGAGAACGAUGCCCGGGAGCGCCUUAACUUCACGCCGGGCGCAAGGGCGG
ensembl:lncRNA